ensembl:lncRNA
GGGGGUACCGGUACAGAGUCAAUGUGGGGGCUAUAUACAGGGGGUACCGGUACAGAGUCAAUGUGGAGACUAUAUACAGGGGGUACCGGUACAGAGUCAAUGUGGAGACUAUAUACAGGGUAUUACGGUACAGAGUCAAUGUGGAGGCUAUAUACAGGGGGUACCAUUACAGAGUCAAUGUGGAGGCUAUAUACAGGGGGUACCGGUACAGAGUCAAUGUUUAGGCUAUAUACAGGGGAUACCAGUACAGAGUCAAUGUGGAGACUAUAUACAGGGUGUUAUGGUACAGAGUCAAUGUGGAGGCUAUAUACAGGGUAUUACGGUACAGGGUCAAUGUGGAGGCUAUAUACAGGGGGUACCAGUACAGAGUCAAUGUGGAGGCUAUAUACAGGGGGUACCAGUACAGAGUCAAUGUGGAGGCUAUAUACAGGGUAUUACGGUACAGAGUCAAUGUGGAGACUAUAUACAGGGUAUUACGGUACAGAGUCAAUGUGGAGGCUAUAUACAGGGG